GGCAAUAAGCAUUACGAAGAUCUUGGUUACUUGUUUAUGAAGAAAAUAUUUAUAUUCACGUUAUUUUUGACUUCCUGGCAUCGUUUACAAAGCUGUUCAAAAUUUUUAAACAAUUAUUUUGUUUCCUUACUGAUGGUGAAAAAGACGACAACUCAAAUGGAGUAGUGCGACGAACAUCCUGUUCUGCAACCUUUUAUUGGGACACAAUACUUAAUUUGUUUUCAUAUGCGAAAAAGUAAAGAAAAACUUCGUACAGAUGAAACUCUGUAGUGUGUAAGCUGACGAACUGGCUAGAUGCUGUUGGCUUAAAGAUGCACAAACACAACAAUGACAACCAAUUUUUCUUAAAAUGCCACAUCCCAGUGGGCACACGACGUCUUUUCAACGUUGAUUAGACGUUGAAUUCUGGUCGCGACGUCGCAACCAACAUUCAACGUCUAAUCAACGUUGGGUCUGCAACGUCGAUGCAACCGACGUAAAUUCAACGUCUUUUCAACGUUGCCCUCCGACAUGAAUACAACGUCGCAUCAUCGACGUCUUUUCAACGUCGUUUCCACAACGUUGUUUCAACCGACGUGAUAUCAACGUUGAUACAACGUCGAAAAAAGACGUUGUUUCAACGAUCGUAAAACCGACGUUUAUUCAACGUCGUACUGCAACGUUGAUUCAACCGACGUCUUAUCGACGUUUAUUCAACGUCACUCCCGCAACGUUGAUUCAACCGACGUCUAUUCAACGUCGCACCCGCAACGUUGAUUCAACCGACGUCUUAUCGACGUUUAUUCAACGUUGCACUGCAACGUUGAUUCAACCGACGUCUUAUCGACGUUUAUUCAACGUUGCACCAAAUUAACUUUUUACCGAGAAUCUGUUCCGUUCAAAUCUUAUUUGUUUUAGUUCGUCUCACACUGGCCUGCAAAGUUAUAUCUCAAACAGACGUUCAUAGAAGUGUUCCAAACUGUCCAACAAAAUAACGAAGCGUACUCGGUGUUUGUUAAAGAUCGUCAUAAACUAGAAAUAAAGAACGCACGUUUUUACUUAAUUUUUUUGUAAUUUGUCAGCGAUUGGAUAUAUUAAUGCCGACGUUAUGUUGUUUUUCAUAUAUAUCGCUAAUUUUACUGCAGUUUUACUACUUCAAAAUAUUACCAUUUGUUUGCAACUUUACAGCCGCAUCUAUGUACUUUUUUACAUAAGAGCCGAAUGUGCAUUCAUUCUCUUAUGCUAUGUUAAAACUUUUGUGACAUAACAUCAGAGAAUGAAUGAACACAAACAUGAAAUGUACACAAAACAUUCAAUGGAUUUUUUUUCAACAGAGCGUACCAAACGUUCGAUUUAUUUUUUGUAAUAUUUAUCAGGGGGUUUUUUGUCCUCGUAUUUUGAGAGAAACAAAUAUUUCAACUUGUAUUAUGGAUGUGAGACAUUUAAAAUACAAUCCAUUUUGUCAAAUUAUAAUUUAUAAUACAAUAAUAACUGUUUAUUUACUUCGCUUUCACAUAUUUAAACCUUUACUUUGUCGCAUGUAAUAUCCCUCCUAGUCAUUGGCGGGAAACUUUCGAUGAGGAAAUUCGCGCCUAAGCCCCUAAGAAGUUCGUAUCAACUCACAAGGCGAAAAGGGCGAAGAACCACAGACGUGAGUAAAGUAUUUCUGUACAGCAUAUGCUAAUUCGUAAACUUUGCUUCGGUAGCAUUCGUAGCAGAAUCUAAAGAAAGAAAAAGUUAGCUAAAAUUUUCACGCAUAUUUAUUUGACACAUUCUAGAAAUAAAUCGUUUGACCCUAAAUUAUUUUAAAUCAAAUUUUUCCAUGUCGGCAAAAAAUUGCCGAAGUGAUGUUAUUUGUCUGCAUGUCAACAAGUCGACAUUUCAGUACAAGAGAGAUGGGGAUUCUUCAGAAUGUAAGAAAAAUUUAUUUCCAGAGACUUAUCUCUAAAAAAACAAUGCUAGCUAGAUUUCUCAAAAAAUAUUUAAUGGAUAUAAUGCCCAGGCUGAGGUGGUCUUACUUUUUUAAUGUUCCAGCCUGGUAUUGUUAUUUUGUAUUUCCAGCUUUUUUUAUUAUUUUACAGUACAUUACACAUACUUGCAAUCCAAAAAUUUUGGCGGGAAGAAAAUUUGGCAGAUAACAAAAAAUUCAAUAACCAUUUAAAAUUUUUGCUAUUUUGCUUUCAUGUGCACCAGUUAUGCUUGACACAUACAGGUGGUUGGAGCAUGCUGACAGGCUGCCUUAUAAGAGGGCGUGCCUGGCACAUGCAAGCAUACUUAUAGCAAUCUAUUUGAAGAUAUAACUUUUGAUUCAAUAACCAUUUAAAAUUUUUGCUAUUUUGCUUUCAUGUGCACCAGUUAUGCUUGACACAUACAGGUGGUUGGAGCAUGCUGACAGGCUGCCUUAUAAGAGGGCGUGCCUGGCACAUGCAAGCAUACUUAUAGCAAUCUAUUUGAAGAUAUAACUUUUGAUUCAAUAACCAUUUAAAAUUUUUGCUAUUUUGCUUUCAUGUGCACCAGUUAUGCUUGACACAUACAGGUGGUUGGAGCAUGCUAACAGGCUGCCUUAUAAGAGGGCGUGCCUGGCAUAUGCAAGCAUUUAUAGCAAUCUAUUCGAAAACAUUGUGACAAAAAAAUAUAUAGCUGAAGCUAAAUAUCAAGUAUUUAGUAAUUCUUAGUUAUAAAUCAUCAUAUUUAAAAAGCUGCAUGUUUUGUUCCAAAGCCCAUGUAAAUUCUUUUAAUUUGUUUUGACUUAAAAAAUCCAACUUUUCAUGAAAAAGGCAUAUUGACUAAAAUUUAAUCCCGCGAAAUAUCUGAACUCGAUCGAUUCGCAAAAAAUUGUGACAUUUAAGUACUUGAAAGACAUUCAUAACUAUGCAGAAGUGAAAAUGCUGAUAAAUAAACGUAGAGGAUUGAAAACUUAUGAUUGUAUUGUCUGCUUGAAGGUUCCUUCAAUACAUUUUGUGCACCUGUGGAAUUCUAUUAAAAAAUAGAGUGCUUGCUUGCUUGAUAAAUUACAAUUCUUACACUAAAAUUAUAACAAAAAUAAGAAAAUUAACUUGGUGAUCACUACUUGCUUUAUACCAGAGACCUGCACACACCACUAGUAUUAUGUAUAUAUACAAAUUAGGUUAAAACUUAGUUAUUAAACUUGUAAUUAUUGCAAAGAGCUGGAAAAAGAUUGAGAUUUUCUAUCAGCCAACUUCAUGCCUCAUUCGACAGUCUUACAAUCCGGUAUUUGAUCUUGUCAUGUUAAGUCAAUAUUUAAAUCCUUAAUUCCCUUGAGUAACCAUUGUUUUAUAUUAGCUAUAUUUGAAUAAAAUGAGUUGGAGCCGAGCAAUAUGGUUGGAAAACAAACAAGAAGAAGAAGGUACAAUACCAACAGUUUGGAUAAAAAAUAAUUUAGUCUACUGGCCAAGUUUUUUGAAUGUCGAGAAGGCAGCUGCAGAAUUAAAAGAACCUACAGCAUUAUGGCACAAAUUUCCACUAGUCCGAGUUAAAAUUACAGGAGGUACGAUGCUAAGUGGCUUUACUUCAAUUAAUUAGUCAAAUACAACUUUAAAAAAAACUAAUCAUGUAUCAGAACCAUUAUUUCCUAUGUUAUAUAAUUUUUGCUGAUAAAUCCAAAUAUGCCACUCAUUUUUCUCAAAAGUUCCUUGUUUUCUUUUUCAAAAUUUGAUAAUGUUAACCUGGAUCUGAGAAUUCUUACACUUCUAAUGAAGUGUGAACACAGCUUAAAGAACUGCCUUUGUUGUCCCUCCUGGAAACAACUAUAGCUAGCUAAAUACUACUUUUCUACUUUUGUGUUUGUGUGCACCUGUAGCUAGAAAUAUAUUUAUUGAUAUAUGUUUCAUUUUACAGCUAUCCCAGUUAUCAAGAGUUGGUGGCUCAAAAAUUCGCGAAAAUGUGAAAAAUGUUCUGUUAAAGUGAGUCAAAGCAUAAGUACCCCUUAGAGAAUUUAAAAUGUACUAACCUUUGUUGUGUAGUUUACAGUGGUAGUGGAAAAUCACUUUGUUGUGCCCACAUGCUUCGUUUCAUCUUCUCCAUAAAAAAAUCGUGCACGAGGUCCAAGAAUUAUUUAAUUGAAUGAAUAGUUUACGGAAUGCGGCCCCGCAGCCUAAUGGACUCGCAACUAUAUAUUAAAUGCGCUUACGAUGUCGAUUGUUUUACUUUUAUUCCACUUUCAUUAUAGAAUCAUGAAUAAUGAAGUAAUGUCGGCACUCAACAUGAAAGGGAAGGGAAAAAGUGAAAAGGUUGGGUUUGCAAGGAUGAACUUAUAUAAAGCUGUUGUCGAAACUGUUAUCAAACAUCAAAAGAAUGCGACAGAAGGAGAAGUUCGUGCGUGUACGGCAUCAAUCCUUAAAUAUGCACCUGAUAGAUGUGGAGGAGCGGGAAGAACUAAUGCCGAAGAAAAUUAAAUCGAUUAAUUUUUAAAUAAUUUACAACUUUUAUAUCAGAGAGGAUUAUAAAUUUUUCAAGCGCCGUAAUAAAUUCUUCUAGCUUAUAUUAAUUUUGAUUGGGUGGCAGAAAAUUAGAAUGGCAAAAUGUUAAAGUGAUUUUAGCUCAACAAUUUUUAGUGUUUCUACUAGAGAUCGGACUUGUGACUAGUAAAAGUAUGGAAUAUGCAUGAGUGGGUGCUUUUUUUAAGGAAAUACAGUGCUAAUAUAAUAUUCAUUAUAUUUUUAUUGUAAUUUUCAACCUCGAUUCCUGGACUUCUUGCACCUGGUGAGGACGGUGGCUUUUCACACUUUUUAUAAAGUAUAGCAUCAUGAUCGUAUUUAUUCGCAUCUGGUAUCCUUAACAAACACCCUUGUAUUCAACUCUGACUUCAUUAAGAAAACAUACUUUUUCUCUAACCAAUGCUUGAUUAAAGACUUCGGUGCAACAGUUUUGCUUGACACUUUAGGUGAUUUGAGCAUACUAACAGGCUGCCUUAUCAGGAGGCGUGCCUGGCACAUGAAAUCGCAGCUAUAAAUUUGCAAAUACUGCACGUUUAACAACCUCGUCAUUGCUGCGUUACAUUUUUUGCAUUGGGUUGGAACGCUGGAGAUUCUCACAUAGUACCAGUUGUGAAUACUUGAAAUAUCGUUUUUAUAUUUUGUAUUAUAAAACUCCGUUAAGUUUCAUUUAGGAAGUUUUCAGCGGAGAAGUUGUAUAUACUGCCGAUGUUUAUAAUAAAAAAAUGACAUAUCGUAGAAA